rnacentral:rRNA from 2 species
UUAAGGGCGCACGGUGGAUGCCUUGGCACUAGAAGCCGAUGAAGGACGUUACUAACGACGAUAUGCUUUGGGGAGCUGUAAGUAAGCUUUGAUCCAGAGAUUUCCGAAUGGGGAAACCCAGCAUGAGUUAUGUCAUGUUAUCGAUAUGUGAAUACAUAGCAUAUCAGAAGGCACACCCGGAGAACUGAAACAUCUUAGUACCCGGAGGAAGAGAAAGAAAAUUCGAUUCCCUUAGUAGCGGCGAGCGAAACGGGAAGAGCCCAAACCAACAAGCUUGCUUGUUGGGGUUGUAGGACACUCUAUACGGAGUUACAAAGGACGACAUUAGACGAAUCAUCUGGAAAGAUGAAUCAAAGAAGGUAAUAAUCCUGUAGUCGAAAAUGUUGUCUCUCUUGAGUGGAUCCUGAGUACGACGGAGCACGUGAAAUUCCGUCGGAAUCUGGGAGGACCAUCUCCUAAGGCUAAAUACUCUCUAGUGACCGAUAGUGAACCAGUACCGUGAGGGAAAGGUGAAAAGCACCCCGGAAGGGGAGUGAAAUAGAACCUGAAACCGUGUGCUUACAAGUAGUCAGAGCCCGUUAAUGGGUGAUGGCGUGCCUUUUGUAGAAUGAACCGGCGAGUUACGAUUUGAUGCAAGGUUAAGCAGUAAAUGUGGAGCCGUAGCGAAAGCGAGUCUGAAUAGGGCGUUUAGUAUUUGGUCGUAGACCCGAAACCAGGUGAUCUACCCUUGGUCAGGUUGAAGUUCAGGUAACACUGAAUGGAGGACCGAACCGACUUACGUUGAAAAGUGAGCGGAUGAACUGAGGGUAGCGGAGAAAUUCCAAUCGAACCUGGAGAUAGCUGGUUCUCUCCGAAAUAGCUUUAGGGCUAGCCUCAAGUGAUGAUUAUUGGAGGUAGAGCACUGUUUGGACGAGGGGCCCCUCUCGGGUUACCGAAUUCAGACAAACUCCGAAUGCCAAUUAAUUUAACUUGGGAGUCAGAACAUGGGUGAUAAGGUCCGUGUUCGAAAGGGAAACAGCCCAGACCACCAGCUAAGGUCCCAAAAUAUAUGUUAAGUGGAAAAGGAUGUGGCGUUGCCCAGACAACUAGGAUGUUGGCUUAGAAGCAGCCAUCAUUUAAAGAGUGCGUAAUAGCUCACUAGUCGAGUGACACUGCGCCGAAAAUGUACCGGGGCUAAACAUAUUACCGAAGCUGUGGAUUGUCCUUUGGACAAUGGUAGGAGAGCGUUCUAAGGGCGUUGAAGCAUGAUCGUAAGGACAUGUGGAGCGCUUAGAAGUGAGAAUGCCGGUGUGAGUAGCGAAAGACGGGUGAGAAUCCCGUCCACCGAUUGACUAAGGUUUCCAGAGGAAGGCUCGUCCGCUCUGGGUUAGUCGGGUCCUAAGCUGAGGCCGACAGGCGUAGGCGAUGGAUAACAGGUUGAUAUUCCUGUACCACCUAUAAUCGUUUUAAUCGAUGGGGGGACGCAGUAGGAUAGGCGAAGCGUGCGAUUGGAUUGCACGUCUAAGCAGUAAGGCUGAGUAUUAGGCAAAUCCGGUACUCAUUAAGGCUGAGCUGUGAUGGGGAGAAGACAUUGUGUCUUCGAGUCGUUGAUUUCACACUGCCGAGAAAAGCCUCUAGAUAGAAAAUAGGUGCCCGUACCGCAAACCGACACAGGUAGUCAAGAUGAGAAUUCUAAGGUGAGCGAGCGAACUCUCGUUAAGGAACUCGGCAAAAUGACCCCGUAACUUCGGGAGAAGGGGUGCUCUUUAGGGUUAACGCCCAGAAGAGCCGCAGUGAAUAGGCCCAAGCGACUGUUUAUCAAAAACACAGGUCUCUGCUAAACCGUAAGGUGAUGUAUAGGGGCUGACGCCUGCCCGGUGCUGGAAGGUUAAGAGGAGUGGUUAGCUUCUGCGAAGCUACGAAUCGAAGCCCCAGUAAACGGCGGCCGUAACUAUAACGGUCCUAAGGUAGCGAAAUUCCUUGUCGGGUAAGUUCCGACCCGCACGAAAGGCGUAACGAUUUGGGCACUGUCUCAACGAGAGACUCGGUGAAAUCAUAGUACCUGUGAAGAUGCAGGUUACCCGCGACAGGACGGAAAGACCCCGUGGAGCUUUACUGUAGCCUGAUAUUGAAAUUCGGCACAGCUUGUACAGGAUAGGUAGGAGCCUUUGAAACGUGAGCGCUAGCUUACGUGGAGGCGCUGGUGGGAUACUACCCUAGCUGUGUUGGCUUUCUAACCCGCACCACUUAUCGUGGUGGGAGACAGUGUCAGGCGGGCAGUUUGACUGGGGCGGUCGCCUCCUAAAAGGUAACGGAGGCGCUCAAAGGUUCCCUCAGAAUGGUUGGAAAUCAUUCAUAGAGUGUAAAGGCAUAAGGGAGCUUGACUGCGAGACCUACAAGUCGAGCAGGGUCGAAAGACGGACUUAGUGAUCCGGUGGUUCCGCAUGGAAGGGCCAUCGCUCAACGGAUAAAAGCUACCCCGGGGAUAACAGGCUUAUCUCCCCCAAGAGUUCACAUCGACGGGGAGGUUUGGCACCUCGAUGUCGGCUCAUCGCAUCCUGGGGCUGUAGUCGGUCCCAAGGGUUGGGCUGUUCGCCCAUUAAAGCGGUACGCGAGCUGGGUUCAGAACGUCGUGAGACAGUUCGGUCCCUAUCCGUCGUGGGCGUAGGAAAUUUGAGAGGAGCUGUCCUUAGUACGAGAGGACCGGGAUGGACAUACCUCUGGUGUACCAGUUGUCGUGCCAACGGCAUAGCUGGGUAGCUAUGUGUGGACGGGAUAAGUGCUGAAAGCAUCUAAGCAUGAAGCCCCCCUCAAGAUGAGAUUUCCCAACUUCGGUUAUAAGAUCCCUCAAAGAUGAUGAGGUUAAUAGGUUCGAGGUGGAAGCAUGGUGACAUGUGGAGCUGACGAAUACUAAUCGAUCGAAGACUUAAUC